rnacentral:rRNA from 1 species
UACAGAGGUCCCAAGCGUUGUCCGGAAUUAUUGGGCGUAAAGAGCUCGUAGGCGGUCUGUCGCGUCGGCUGUGAAAACUCGGGGCUCAACCCCGAGCCUGCAGUCGAUACGGGCAGACUAGAGUGCGGUAGGGGAGACUGGAAUUCCUGGUGUAGCGGUGAAAUGCGCAGAUAUCAGGAGGAACACCGGUGGUGUAGACGGCUUUCUGGACCGUAACUGACGCUGAGACGCGAAAGCGUGGGGAGCAAACAGG